rnacentral:lncRNA from 1 species
UAGCAUAGAAGGCGGAGGAGGUCAUUGGAGCCGGCUUCCCUUCCGCUUUGGCUGCCAAGCUCCGCGCGUUGGUGAGUCCCUCUCUCUAUCCCUCUACAUCUCUCCCUCUCUCUGUCAGAGGGCAGCUACCAACCCCGAGGUGCAGGCGGCCAUGGAAAAGCAGAAGAUGCCACACCUAGCUUUCCCCCUUGCCUCCUGCCCUUUCUCUUCAGCUCAUUUAUUUACAUGUGCAAAUUCUCUUUUAUCUAUGCCUGCAAGGUGUUUGAUGAAAGUUCAGUAAGGCUUUGAGGGAAUACCAAACAAGAGAGGAUCCAGUAUCUGUAACAUGCAUCAGGUUGACACCAACUUCAUGCAUUUUGCUUCAAGAUCAUUGUUAAUUUAAUUCAAAAUGUUUUCUCAUUCUAUUGGAAGAUAGAAAGGAUGGUUGUAGAAAGAUAACUGUUCUACUUGGAUACCUUUCUUUGUUCUCGUUUGCAUUUAAGUAAAAAUGUUCAACUGCAGAUAUAGAUUGCCGGCGGGUGGAUAUAUUGCUCAAAAGAUGUCACUAGUGCUGUACUGCUGUAGAUGCCAUUGAUUUCAUAUAUCAAAGCAUUACAGCUCUUUCAGAUCCUUUGUAUUUCCACUUAGUUAGCUUGAAAAUCUUGUCUACUACGGACACCUCUUGAAAAUUGCAAAGGAGUUCUAACUCCCAACAAGCUUAUUUCCUUAAAAAAUGUAACUGGUACAAUGUUCUACGUACCUUAUGAGAGGUCAGCCCCGGCAUCACAGUCCAUUCCUGAAGAAGUUCACAUGCAUGGUGUUGAUUGUUGAGUUUGCUUGGUUAACGGAAUGACAUGCCUAUGCAGAUCAGCAGGGGGAAGGUCCAGGGUGAAACCUUCAGGAGGGAUUUGAUGUUGCUAUUGUUUCAGUUUGCAGAUAGAGGAUGUGAUUCCAGCAAGACAGAGACGAUGGCGAUGACAAGUGAGAUUUAUGUUAAGGAGUAUUAGCAUAUGCUCACAGGAUCACUGGAAGUUUAUAAAUGUAUCCGCAAUGAUUGUUGCUUUCUUAUUGACACAUAAUUGAAUUAUAAUUAUAGACAGUAAGAGUAGUUGUCUUUUCAUUUGUUAGAAAACAUAGUGUACCUUUAUAAUCGUAGUUAUAUGCAAUGAUCCAUCAUGUAUUUUUGUUUAAAACUGCAACCCGUAAUUGUUUGAUGUCAUUAAAUGUCUCUCUCUCUCUCUCUCUN